rnacentral:rRNA from 1 species
UACGUAGGUCCCGAGCGUUGUCCGGAUUUAUUGGGCGUAAAGCGAGCGCAGGUGGUUUAUUAAGUCUGGUGUAAAAGGCAGUGGCUCAACCAUUGUAUGCAUUGGAAACUGGUAGACUUGAGUGCAGGAGAGGAGAGUGGAAUUCCAUGUGUAGCGGUGAAAUGCGUAGAUAUAUGGAGGAACACCGGUGGCGAAAGCGGCUCUCUGGCCUGUAACUGACACUGAGGCUCGAAAGUGCGGGGAUCGAACAGG